AAACCAACAGGGAUUGCCUCAGUAGCGGCGAGUGAAGCGGCAAGAGCUCAGAUUUGAAAUCGUGCUUUGCGGCACGAGUUGUAGAUUGCAGGUUGGAGUCUGUGUGGAAGGCGGUGUCCAAGUCCCUUGGAACAGGGCGCCCAGGGGGGUGAGAGCCCCGUGGGAUGCCGGCGGAAGCAGUGAGGCCCUUCUGACGAGUCGAGUUGUUUGGGAAUGCAGCUCCAAGCGGGUGGUAAAUUCCAUCUAAGGCUAAAUACUGGCGAGACCGAUAGCGAACAAGUACUGUGAAGGAAAGAUGAAAAGCACUUUGAAAAGAGAGUGAAACAGCACGAGAAAUUGUUGAAAGGGAAGGGUAUUGCGCCCGACAUGGGGAUUGCGCACCGCUGCCUCUCGUGGGCGGCGCUCUGGGCUUUCCCUGGGCCAGCAUCGGUUCUUGCUGCAGGAGAAGGGGUUCUGGAACGUGGCUCUUCGGAGUGUUAUAGCCAGGGCCAGAUGCUGCGUGCGGGGACCGAGGACUGCGGCCGUGUAGGUCUCGGAUGCUGGCAGAACGGCGCAACACCGC
rnacentral:rRNA from 1 species